UUUUUUGUCUUAAAUAAAUAUAAAUCACAUUUAUUAUGAAGUUAAAUGGCCAUUAAAAGGCAAACUCUAUGUAGAAAGAAAGGGCUGUCAGCAACAGCAAAAACACAGCUGACAGGUAGCUCCGAGACGCUCCCGAGACGUGGGUAACUCGCGUCUAGUGUGAACACCCUAGGUGGGCAUGACGCGGCCACGACGUGACGCUGCCGUCAGGCGAGCCUGAAGCGCGCUGUGUGGCCCCAGCGUACCACCCAACCCUUA